GUAUGAUGACGCGCACUGAUAUUAGCGAGCGUAACGAUAUCAUCAAAUUGGGAGGCCUAUCUAAUGGUAGAAAAGUAGAAACCCUAGAUUGUUUCUGCAAUUCCGACUCUCCUCUCCCUUUCCCUUGUCCCUCCUCGGUGACUCCGAGUUGCUGAAGGUCUUCCGCUGGCCGCCCUCAGAUCCGGCGGCCCACCACCUCCCGCGGUUGCACUUUGAGCUCAACAUGUCGGACACAAAGACCAUUGAUGCCAAUGAGCAUGCUUCUGAGGAGGUUCCCGACCUAAUGGACCAAAAUGAAGAGAAUUCGAUGCUGUCAUCCCAAGCAGAGGAGGAAGCAAUCAGGAAAAAAUAUGGAGGAAUAUUACCCAAAAAACCGCCUCUUAUAUCGAAGGAUCAUGAACGUGCCUACUUCGAUUCUGCUGAUUGGGCUUUAGGAAAGCAAGGUGCACCUGGUGGGAAGCCCAAAGGACCACUUGAGGCACUUCGCCCAAAGCUACAGGUGAUAAAUCUGUUCUCUCUUUCCCAGCAUGCUCACUGACAUUAUAUCAACGUGUAAAACGGAAAGUUCCUUUUCACCACAAUAACUUGUUCUUCAGCCUACACCGCACCAGCAAGUGCGCUCACGGCGGUCGAUUUACACGUCUUCUGAUGCUGAUGAUGGAGGCAAUGCUGCUCCUGAGGAGGCAAACAGCAAUGAGUGACUUCAAGCCUGUGUCCAUUGGAGAGCCUUUCAAUCUGCGGGUCUUUGGCUGUUUCUUUGGUGAAACACAAUUGAGUCCAUUUUGUAGGCUUGCGUGAAUAAGUACAGCUUUUUGUUACAUUUGCUGCUGUCAUUUGGAAUCUUCAUGGUCUCUGUAUCUGAGACUGGUGACUCUGGAACCACCAGUGAGUUUAUAAACUCAGAAUGAGUCAUCUCAUGGGAUGACAUCUGGCUCAUAAGUCAUAACCGGCAUGCUUCAUGUUACUUUAGCGACAUGGCCUUGAUGAGUAAUACAAGUUAGCACAUGGUAAU